rnacentral:rRNA from 1 species
GAUGAACGCUAGCUACAGGCUUAACACAUGCAAGUCGAGGGGCAGCAUGGUCUUAGCUUGCUAAGGCCGAUGGCGACCGGCGCACGGGUGAGUAACACGUAUCCAACCUGCCGUCUACUCUUGGACAGCCUUCUGAAAGGAAGAUUAAUACAAGAUGGCAUCAUGAGUUCACAUGUUCACAUGAUUAAAGGUAUUCCGGUAGACGAUGGGGAUGCGUUCCAUUAGAUAGUAGGCGGGGUAACGGCCCACCUAGUCUUCGAUGGAUAGGGGUUCUGAGAGGAAGGUCCCCCACAUUGGAACUGAGACACGGUCCAAACUCCUACGGGAGGCAGCAGUGAGGAAUAUUGAGCAAUGGGCGAGAGCCUGAACCAGCCAAGUAGCGUGAAGGAUGACUGCCCUAUGGGUUGUAAACUUCUUUUAUAAAGGAAUAAAGUCGGGUAUGUAUACCCGUUUGCAUGUACUUUAUGAAUAAGGAUCGGCUAACUCCGUG